GGCCCCUAGGGCUGCGUCCGCCUCCUUCCUGCCGCGGCGACCCCGGGCCCAGAGGGCGGGUUGGAGCCUGGAGGAGAAGGAGGGCGAGAGGCUGGCGGGUCAUGCCCUGGUUGCCCCGCGCCGCGCUCCUUUGGGACGUGGUCCUGGGCUUUUUGGGCACCGCCGCCUUCCUGAUCGACCUGGGCGCCGACCUGUGGGCCGCGGGCCAGUAUGUGCUCAGCGGCCGCUACCUGUGUGCGGCGAUGGUGUUGGCGCUGCUGGGCCUCGCCUCCGUCGCGCUGCAGCUCUUCAGCUGGGUCUGGUUGCGCGCCGACCCCGCCGGCUUGCACGCGCCACAGCCCCCGGGCCGCUGCCUGGCGCUGCUGCACGUCCUGCAGCUGGGCUACCUGUACAGGUGUGUGCAGGGGCUGCAGCAGGGGCUCCUGGUGUGGCAGCAGGAGGCGCCCUCCGAGUUUGACCUGGCUUACGCCGACUUCCUAACGCUGGACAUCAGCAUGCUGCGGCUCUUCGAGACCUUCUUGGAGACGACUCCCCAGCUCACGCUGGUGCUGGCCAUCGUCUUGCAGAGUGGCCGGGCCGAGUCCUACCAGUGGGUCGGCAUCUGCACGUCCUUCGUGGGCAUCUCGUGGGCGCUGCUUGACUACCACCGGGCCUUGCGCACCUGCCUCCCCUCCAAGUCGCCCCUGGGGCUGGGCUCGUCCGUGGUCUACUUCCUGUGGAACCUGCUGCUGCUGUGGCCCCGAGUCCUGGCCGUGGCCCUCUUCUCCGCUCUCUUCCCCCGCUACGUGGCCCUGCACUUCGUGGGCCUGUGGCUGGUGCUGCUGUUCUGGGUCUGGCUGCAGGGCACGGACUUCAUGCCAGGUGCCUGCUCGGAGUGGCUCUACCGGGCCACCGUGGCCACCAUUCUUUACUUCUGCUGGUUCAGCGUGGCCGAGGGCCGCACCCGAGGCCGCGCCGCCAUCCACCUGGCGUUCCUCCUGGGUGACAGCGUCCUCAUGGUGGUCACCUGGUGGACUCACAUCCCCUGGCUGCCCAGUGGGAUCCCCGUGCGGAUGCUGCUGCCCGCGAGCGGCAUCUGCUUCCUUUUGGGGCUGGCUCUGCGGCUUGUGUACUACCACUGGCUGCACCCGAGCUGCCGCUGGGAGCCUGACCGGGUGGAUGGGACCCAGGGCCUCCACCCCGUCGAGUGGCGUCGGCUGCCUCACAACAGGCGCAUGGCCCAGUUGGCGCGGUGCUUCUUCCCCAGGGUGAGGGAUGAGGCUGCUUUGCCGUGGAAGGGAGACGUGAAUGGGGUCCUUUGAGGCAAGGCCAGACCCCGCAGGCACGGAGCAGAUGGAAUCUGGUAGAAUGCAGAAGCUAAGCUGCUGCUGCUGCGGGCCUUGAUGCUCUCAGAGGCGCUUGAUGCCCCACGUGCCAGGCGCUGGACACCAGAGUUGAGUAAAGACACAGGCCUGCCUUGGAGGAUGAGAACAGAUGAGAACAGCAGGGCCCUGGGGAGGCGAGGGCUCCAGUUAUGGUACAAGACACUUCGGGAGGAAAGAAGAGACCCCCCCUUCCCCCCCUCACCCCGACCCACCAGUAGAGCCUGUGCCCCGAAGCUCCUAGAGAUGGUAUUUUCACCUCCCUGGCCACCUCUGCAAUAGUUGAUGGAGGUGCUGUCCCACCACUUGGCCACCCGACCCUGGGCUAGAAGGUUCCCAGUCUCCAGGAUAUGUUCACAGUUCUUCCUCUCCGCCUUGCCUGUCAUCCAUUCAUCCAACAGAUGUUGGCUGAGAGCACUUUUUGUGCCGGGAAUAUUCUAUCCUUGGAGGCUGGAACAAGACUAGCUGCCAACGGAGCUUUAUCCCUUACCCUCUCCAGCUACUCCUGAGCGGCGGUCACGCCGGAAGCCGGGGAUGUCCGGCUCGUGGCCCCGUCAGCCUCCCCGAGGCCUCCGUGCAGCCAGCCCGGCCUCUGGCCCUGCUCUCAAGCGGCCUCCUUUCAACCAAGUGCUGUGAGCCUGUGAUCUGGGCAUGGCUCAGCCCGUUAUUUUUCUACUUUAGGAAGUAUACUUUCUACCUCAGAGUCCGUGUGAGAGGAAGAGAGGGCGUGUGCAUAUGUGUCUCAGCAGAGUUUAAAGGCACCUGGAAAGAAGGGUCAGGGAUAUGAAGUCCACCCUUAAAAUUGGUGGGCUUCUGAACCCAGAUCGGGGCCGACUCCAGUGUGUGCUGUUUACCAGCUUUGCUGAGAGGCCCGGCAGGAGGAGCCGCAACGCCUCUGGGACCAGGACGUGAAUCCUAGAGCCCGGUGAAGAAAGAAAGACAGCCAGCGAGAGAGGGAACACAAGCAGGGGGAGUGGGAGAGGAAGAAGCAGGCUCAUAGCAGAGGAGCCCGAUGUGGGGCUCGAUCCCACAACGCCGGGACCACCCCGAGCCGAAGGCAGACGCUCAACCGCUGUGCCACCCAGGCGCCCCAAGAACUUCUUUUAAAGGUCAAGAAAGUUGCUUUUGAAGAAUAAAACCAUCCUGAAUUACUGAUUUUUACCUGUCAGCAAAAGGUUUUUGAGAAAUGUGCAUAUAUUUACUAGAGGGGAGAUGGAGAUGUUUACUCCUAGGGCUUGAAAAGCAGAUAACACUCCAGUAUUUGUACUUAUGACCAAGUAAAGAUGUAACAACUAACAAGUUUGCUUCAGCUAGGAUGUUGUUCAAAAUGUGUACAUUCUGAUGAAAAAAAUUAAUGCCUAGAAUACAAGGCAACCCCCUUUUCUUUUUUUUUUAAGAUUUUAUUAAUUUAUUUGACAGAGAGACAGCCAGC